CAGCCGCCGCGGGAAUACGUAGGGUGCAAGCGUUAAUCGGAAUUACUGGGCGUAAAGCGUGCGCAGGCGGUUAUAUAAGACAGAUGUGAAAUCCCCGGGCUCAACCUGGGAACUGCAUUUGUGACUGUAUAGCUAGAGUACGGCAGAGGGGGAUGGAAUUCCGCGUGUAGCAGUGAAAUGCGUAGAUAUGCGGAUGAACACCGAUGGCGAAGGCAAUCCCCUGGGCCUGUACUGACGCUCAUGCACGAAAGCGUGGGGAGCAAACAGGAUUAGAUACCCCCGUAGUCCCUGUCUCUUAUAC
rnacentral:rRNA from 1 species